UCUUUAUGAAAUUUUAACCUUUGUAUGCGCGUUUGCAUUUCAGUAUUAUACACACUUCGGAAAUAGCAAGCAAUACAUGAAUCGUAAAUCGUAGUGAAGGCAGAGUUCAUUGCAUGUAUGCCAGUGUUUGGCUACGAGCGUAAGGAUGAAGUAUGGGUGGUAGUGACUGCCGCCAAAACAAAAUAAAAGUGUGUUAGUGCACAGCCGAACGAUAUAAUCCCACAAAUAGGAGAAAGGAAAAGUAGUAGCCAAAGCUAAGAGCACUGCACUGUUUGCUUGUUUUGAAACGUUUCAAUGGGUCAACAACAACGAAACUUGGAAUCGUGGAAAAAUCAUAAACUUGCGCACAUUCACAUCAUAAAUGCAACAAUAGGAGAAGAGUAAUGGCAAAGAAGUUAAAAGUGCGCCGAUUUUGUAAUAAAAGAAUUGUACAAGUUGUAAUAAAUUGUUACAUAAGCCAAAUAUGUA